rnacentral:rRNA from 1 species
GAGUAACCCACUGCAUGUGUAAGUAUAAAUAGUUAACUUUGAAACUGCGAAUGGCUCAUUAUAUCAGUUAUAGUUUAUUUGAUGAAGAAUACUAAUUGGAUAACCGUAGUAAUUCUAGAGCUAAUACAUGUAUAAAGUCUUGUAGACUGCAUUUAUUAGAAUGAAAACCAUAGGUUUCGGCCUAUUCGUGAGUAAUAAUAACUAAUCAUAUCGUAUGCUUAUGUAACGAUGUGUCUUUCAAGUUUCUGCCCUAUCAGCUUUCGAUGGUAGUGUAUUGGACUACCAUG